GCUGGGCAUGGUGGUGCAUGCCUGUGAUUCCAGCAACUCAGGAGGCUGAGGCAGGAGAGGAGGAUCACAAGUUCAAAACUAGCCUCAGCAACCUAUUGAGGCACUUAACAAAUCAGCAAGACCCUGUCUCUA
rnacentral:sRNA from 1 species